CGUAGGUGGCGAGCGUUGUCCGGAAUUAUUGGGCGUAAAGCGCGCGCAGGCGGUCCUUUAAGUCUGAUGUGAAAGCCCACGGCUCAACCGUGGAGGGUCAUUGGAAACUGGGGGACUUGAGUACAGAAGAGAAGAGUGGAAUUCCACGUGUAGCGGUGAAAUGCGUAGAGAUGUGGAGGAACACCAGUGGCGAAGGCGACUCUUUGGUCUGUAACUGACGCUGAGGCGCGAAAGCGUGGGGAGCAAACAGGAUUAGAUACCCUGGUAGUCCACGCUGUAAACGAUGAGUGCUAAGUGUUAGAGGGUUUCCGCCCUUUAGUGCUGCAGCUAACGCAUUAAGCACUCCGCCUGGGGAGUACGGCCGCAAGGCUG
rnacentral:rRNA from 1 species